AUUGAACGCUGGCGGCAGGCUUAACACAUGCAAGUCGAGCGGAGUGAUGGUGCUUGCACUAUCACUUAGCGGCGGACGGGUGAGUAAUGCUUAGGAAUCUGCCUAUUAGUGGGGGACAACAUCUCGAAAGGGAUGCUAAUACCGCAUACGUCCUACGGGAGAAAGCAGGGGAUCACUUGUGACCUUGCGCUAAUAGAUGAGCCUAAGUCGGAUUAGCUAGUUGGUGGGGUAAAGGCCUACCAAGGCGACGAUCUGUAGCGGGUCUGAGAGGAUGAUCCGCCACACUGGGACUGAGACACGGCCCAGAUUCCUACGGGAGGCAGCAGUGGGGAAUAUUGGACAAUGGGGGGAACCCUGAUCCAGCCAUGCCGCGUGUGUGAAGAAGGCCUUAUGGUUGUAAAGCACUUUAAGCGAGGAGGAGGCUCUUUUGGUUAAUACCCAAGAUGAGUGGACGUUACUCGCAGAAUAAGCACCGGCUAACUCCGUGCCAGCAGCCGCCGUAAAAC
rnacentral:rRNA from 1 species